rnacentral:tRNA from 2 species
GCCUGGGUGGCUCAGUCGGUUGAGCGUCUGACUUCAGUUCAGGUCAUGAUCUCUUGGUUUGUGAGUUCGAGCCUCACGUUAGGCU